CGUUAAGAAACAAUCUAAGCAUGAUCCAAUAAACCAAGGUUUAAGCAGUUAAUAGUAUAUUCGAGAAAAAUAACCCAACACAGCCUGAUACCGGGGUGUCACUAGUCAUGAGCAUCUAAACAAUCCGGAAUACUCCAAAUCAAACUAUAGAGUUUAAUACAGAAACUAAGAACAUGAAGAAAUAAGAUAGGGAAGAGCUCCAGGCUGUGAACGCCGACAGCUACCUAGAGACUCCUUGGAUCCGCCUGAGCUGGAAAUGAUCAGUACUCGGGAGCGGGAUUAGAUACGCCUGAAUCUGCACACAGGGUGCAGGGAGUAAAGUAAGUACUCCAACUCAGUGAGUAAUAAUCAUAAAUAAAGACUCAAAGCAGGAAAUCACAUAAGGCACAAGUCAUGCUAUAAUGAAGCAGUAAAACCCUUAAAACAAUAAACCAAUGAAAGAUAGGUAAAAAUCAUUUAACUCAAAUUUAACUUCAUGAAAAGCCUUUUUCAACAAUUAAGCAGGUAAUUUGACAGGCAAUUAAGAAAAAAUAAACAUAUUAAGGAUCGCCCCUCAGGCACCGUGCCAACAAAUUCGCCCCCGGGCAACAUCUCAGAACAAUACCAGCCCAUCGGGCUCAAUCUCACAUCACAAUGGGUACCCGCGCUCACUGGGGGUGUGUAGACUCCUGGAGGGGCCCAUUAUGGCUUAAGCGAUCAAGCCAUAUCGUGGCAUCAUCACUAGGCUCUCGGCCUCAUAUCAACAAGCCACCUCGUGGCGUACAUAUCUCAGGCCCUCGACCUCAUAAUCAUAAUCAGUGUAUCACCGCUGCGGCGUGUAACCCGACCCAAAAGUAUCCUCAUAGCACAGGCCCUCGGCCUUACUCAAUCAAAAUCACAUAAGCCACUCGGGCAACAGUAAAACAUGGUGCUCAGCCUAAAAUAUUAUUUGAAAUAUCAUUUCAAAUGUUAAAGCAGAGUAAACAUGGCUGAGUUUUGAAAAUAGUAGAAUAUAGCAUGACUGAGUACAAGUUUAAAGUCAAAACAGUGAGGAAAUAUUAAUAAAAAUCCCCGAAGGGUUCAAAUAAUUGGCACGAGGCCCAAAUAUGGCAUUCAACCCAAAACAUGACGAUAGCAAAUAGUUUUCAAUCAAAUACGCAGUAAAACAGUCAUUCGGGAUGGACUACGUCACAAUACCCUAUAGUGCACGACCCCACGCUCGUCAUCUAGCAUGUGCGUCACCUUAAUAUAGCACAACGAUAUGCAAUCCGGGGUUUCAUACCCUCAGAACAUCAUUUACAAUCAUUACUCAACUCGAUCCGGUCCAAACUCUAGCCCGCGAUGCCUUUGCCCUCACAAAUCGACCAUGAUCCAAAUCUAGCCGCAAUCAGUACAUAAUCUUUAAAAUAUGCUAAGGGAACAAAGCCCACUUGAAAAUAUCCAAUUUACAUCAAAAAUCCCAAAAUUUCUCAAACCCGGCGCCCGGGCCCACGUCUCGAAAUCCGAUAAAAAAUCACAUCAAUAAAAUCCUCGUUCACUCACGAGUCUACCCAUAUCAAAUUCAUCAAAAUCCGACCUCAAUUGCCCAUUGAAAUGUCCAAAAGAAAUCUCAAACUUUUCUUCCUUUUUUCCCCAAUUUUCACUCUAAUUUCUCAAAUUGAAUGAUGAAAUUCAUGACCAAAUCAUGGAAUUAAACCAAAUAUGAGUGAAGAAUACUUACCUCAAUAGCUCCACCGAAAAUCUCCUCAAAUUCCACCUAAUACCGAGCUCUCCAAUAGUUUUUAUGAAAUUGGACUUAAACCCUCAAUUUAAAAUAUAAAUUGUCUGCCCAGACAUUUCUUCAUCGUGAACGCGGCAUAUCCCUCGCUUUCGCGAAGCACACUGCUUCACUGACCGAAAUCUCUUCUACACGAACGUGAGAAAGCUCUCGUGAACGUGAUGCACAACACACUCAACACCUCACGAUCACGACCUCAACUAUGCGAACGCGUACAACAAAUGCACUGAGGACCCAUCUAUCCUUCUUCCUCUAUGCGAACGCGACCUGAACCUCGCGAACGCGAUGACCAAAGACCUCACAUCGUCGCGAUCGCGGAACCAUCAUCGCGAAUGCAAAGGCCAACUCCACAGCCUCGCACCUUAACCCUUAGCGAAUGCAGGACAUGCAUGUGAACGCGAAGGUCAAAAACCCACAACACCAACAACAGCAAUUCUGCAAUUUUUUACAACAUGAAAUGGUCCGAUUGACCACCCGAAACUCACCCGAGGCCCUCGGGACCUCAACCAAACAUGCCAAAAUACCCCAUAACCCCAUUCAAACUUGUUCCAACCUUCGAAACACUAAAAAAAACAUUAAAACACCAAAUUUGCAUCGAAUUCAAGCCUAAGAAUUUCAAAAUCUUCCGAAUUACGCUUUUGAUAAAAAACCCAACGAAACCACGUCCGAAUGACCUGAAAUUUUGCACACACGUCAAAAAUGACACAAUGGAGCUACUAAAACUUUUGGAAUUCCAUUCCGACCCCUAUAUAAAAAUCUCACCUAUCAACCGGAAAACGCCAAAAUCUCAAUUUCGCCAAUUCAAGCCUAAACCUUCCACGGACUUCCAAAAUGCAUUCCGAUCACACUCCUAAGUCCCAAAUCACCUAACGAAGCUAACCAAAUCAUAAAAAUUCCGAUCCGAGAUCAUAUAGCAACCAGUCAAAUCUUGAUCAAACUUUUCAAAUUUCAAGCUUCAAACUGAGAACUGUUCUUCCAAAUUCAUUCCUCUUACCCUGAAAACCAAAACCAACGAUUUACAUAAGUCACAACACAUCACACGGGGCAAGUCAUGCCCAAGAAUUGACAAGCAAGGUACAAAAGCUCAAAAAGAUCGGUCGGGUCGUUACAUUCUCCCCCACUUAAACAUACAUUCGUCCUCGAACGUGCUUAGAGUUGUUCCAAAAGCCAACCAAUCGCUGAAUAACCUUACCAUGCAAAUACCCAGGGGUGACCCCCGUCACCCUGUCUCAUAUACCCGAUAACACCACGCAACCGAAAUUUCACAAUCCAGCCUAGCCCACAAACCUUAGAACUACAUUUCCACUCCUGAAAUCAUCCACAAGAUUAAAAUCUCACAUCUAUACUCUGCAUAAGCCCGAACAAGCUGUAAUAACCCAUACCUGCAACCUCAGGUGAAAUCAUAUGAUAUACCACAUAACUCAAACACUUGUAGUGAUAACUUCUAAUCACGGCAGCUGCACACAACACCCGAAUACCGAUAGAAAAACUCUUAUCAACUAAAGUCUCAUUCCAAUACUUCCAUAUACUGCCAAUGAUAAAUGAAACACGCAGUAAACCAUAACCUUCGCUCAGAUCAACCAUUCAUGAAGCCACUUCUCCUUUGGCAAAUACCAUAGCAAAUUUCUGAGCCGAACCUCGAUAUUAUCCUUCCAACAUGUUGAAACUGAAUCCGUUAUAUUCAUUAAUGAACCUAAUGAUCUCAUCUAAUCCAACACACUACUCUAGUGACAUGACACAUCAAUACAGGCUAAAGCCUCAACUUGUGAAAUUCGCGCACCAAUAAGCAACAAUCCGAACAUACUCAAAUCAUGAAAAUGACUCAAAUGAAAGAGUUGUACCACAAGCUCCCCAGUACCACCACAACACAAUGCUGAGAACCCGUCACACAUCAUAGAACCAAAACACACAAAUCUAACCCACAGGAUUACACCGUCCACAUAGCUUCGCUCCAAUGCGCGACCUCAUCCACACACUAGUCCACAUGAAACACCUCAAGUGACUAUGCUCAAAAAUCGACAACCAUGCGCAAUAUGGUGUCUAAAACAAAGGCAAUAAUUAUAAUCACUACAAAGAAAUUGACAUAACAUUACACAUACCCGAAGGGACACAACCGAUACGCCAUCCACCGAGCAAUAACCAGUACUCUUUCCCGCUCGACUUCCACUAUGAAACCCCAAUGGAACCGCACCAUCUGUGCCUAUAACCAACAAAUCAUAACGUCUCGCAACAGAGAAAAGUAAUUCAUAGAUCACCUCAUAACACUAAUAGCUCAAGAACAACUGAAUCAACACAUCCCUCACCAAUAGUGACUCGAAGUAAACAAGGCCGUCUCGAUGCAGAACACACAUCCAUAUAGGUCUACUAAUAAACCCCUUAUCAAGGAGUUCCAGAAGCUACUCCUUCAACUUCCCUCACUCUACCGGUGCCAUACGAUACGGUGCCCAGCACCAAAUCAAUACCGAAAUCAACAACCCCGGCCGGCGACAUGUCCAACCACAAGAAACACAUCCGAAAAGUCCCUCACCACCAGAACUGAAUCAAUGGUAGGAGUCUCUGCACUGACAUCCAUCAUGGAAGCCCGAAUAAGAAAGACAAUCCUUCCUAGCCAUAUGCUGGGUCUUAGAAUAUAAAACCACUCGACUAGGCCAUGAAAUCCGUCGAACCUCGCCACUCAAUUCGUGGCAUUCCUGGCAUAGCCAACAUCGCCGCCUUAGCGCAAUAGUCCAGAAUAAAAUGACACAAAGACAACCAGUCUAUACCCAAUAUUACAUCAGAAUCUAACAUAGCAAGCAGCACAAGAUCCACUCGGGUCUCCAAACCUGAUAGUCACUAAGCAGCGCCGAUUCACAUGACCUACAACCACAACAUAACCUGUUUGUGAGACCUUCCCGUCUCCAAAUCCAUAUGGUACACAAAUCAUCAUAUACGAUACCAAUUUCGUCAUCUAAAUACAUACCAUACCUCUAAUACUCAAUCAUUCCACGAGAGAUACUCUAAAAUUCUUUUGUGCCACCAAGCAAACUCGAAUAUCAGCAGUAGAUAUAGCAAGAGAGUGCUGCAACACUACCGAAGUAACAUCAACUUAAUCACAUUGCCUUUUUCUGAAAAAUAUACCCUCGUCAAAUCACUCCAAUUAGCAUUACCAUUUCCUUAAUCAUCGGAAGAUCAUUUCCCAAAUCAUCUGAAGCUCAUUUCUCUAAUUAUCUGAAACUAUCGUUGCUGCCUAAGAAUUGUGGCCUUCCUUUCAGAACUGAUAUAUGACCUUACACAUGCAAAUCUAAGUCUUGCACAACAUACCGCAUAUACCAUACCGACAUAAGGUAAAUAUGAGAAAUUCAUAUCCAUUCCGAGUCACACACAACUACGUACUCAACUAGCCAAGAACUUUUCUAUUGGACCUCAGUUGGGAGAAAAUAACUAUACAUCCCCUGCUCUUCAUGCCCGUGGAAAAUACACACCUCUAACCAUGGUAGAAUCAUCAAGAACUUUUCAAAUUCCAUUCGCACAAAACUAAAUCAUUCGAACUGAAUCCUUCUAACUCAACUAAGCUACGCAGGCCACUAAAAACCCAAGAGAAUUAUCGGAAACACCCGCAGAAACUCAUUACCUCGUAAUCACCCAAAGGACUAAUCAUAUCUUUACCAUGUGGAUCCGGCCAACUACCAAGCUAUCCUAUUGAUACUAGUUCCUUCUAAAUUACCUUCAAAUUAAUACUUUGCCUUGCCGUAACAUCACAAUUCCUCAACCCAGACUCACCACAUGAGACCCAAGCAUAAAACCACAUCGUUUAAGGCUCACAAGCCACCGAAAUCUCUCUUAAAUAUUCCCAACUGCACCACGUUCAAAAUGCUUACCCUGAAGCGACUUCCUAUGAAUCCGAAGUCAUUACCUUCACCUUCCUGAUACUGAUAUAUAGAAUCCCAUAAUUAAUAUAUAAAAUACCACAAGUCCUGACAUCUUCCAAUGAAAACUCAGUUUCUAGCCACAUAUACAACUUGAAAAUACCUAAUUGUUACAUGUAAAAUCUUGAACACCUUAGAAUCGUUCUCGAGAGUCAUUCACUCUAUUCGAACUACAAUUAGCCUGAUCAAACGAACAGGACCACCCGUGCCUCAAUAGCACUCCUAUCACAACCCAAAUUAGGAUUGUGACCGGCGCUUAGGAGCAAGUGCUCCCAAGUAAGCCUCAUCGAUAAUUUUACAAAAAAUCGGACAGAGUUUCCCCUGAUUUUGGACCAUCCCAAAAAAUUUCCUGUCUCAAAUCAACAACCAAACAUCCUAAUAUCAUACCAAACAAUUGAAAACUUGCCAAUUAACUAAUACAAGUCUCCACCAUAACUAAAUCACCAACCAACCACUAGAAAUACUAAUUUAUCUCCAACUUUGAUAAAUGAGAACGAUACUCGACAUAAAACCAUAAUAACAAAAGAAUACUCAUGACACUAAAAUAAUGAUAAUGGAGCGACUCUAAGAGUUCAAUAAAAAGACCAUAACAAUAAAUAAAAUCUCUGCCCACGCGAACAAGUGCGAGGCUCAGCGAGAAAUAUCAACAUGUGCGCUCUAAUUAACGAAAUCCUCGCCUGCGUCAACUGCUGUCUCUAUAAAAAACAAUUAGCGGGAAAUGAGUCACUAGCUCAGUGAGUAAUAACACUUAACCACAACUGUUUUUAUUUGGGGACAAUUCAAAAACAUGCUAGUAUAUCAAACUGAAAACAACAUAAAAAUGCCCUUUCAGAAACAAUAAAUAAUUUUUAGUCUCAUUAUACUUUUCUUGUAGUAUAAUACAAAUACAAUUCAGUAAUAAGCUCGGUAACUACUAUAUAAUAUCAGUAUUCACAUUUUGGGAGGUUUCAAUGAACGGAUCAUGUAAUCGGUAUAACUGUGGACUUCUUCGCAAGAAGUCAAAUAUAACGGUAGUCCCUACCAGAGGGAAAUCGGUAACAGUAUACUAGUUCUAUCUUCCCACUAGCGAGGGCUAUAACUGUACUGUAUAGUCGGUAAGUACAAGGAGCACCAGGUCUAACAAACCCGCCGUUGGCUACAGUAUCCUUCAAUGUCUACUCCCAUUUAUACUUGUCUCUGUAAUCCGUAUAUACUCAUAGAAAAUAUUUUAAUACAAUAUAAGGCAUUUCGGUUCUUAUCAAAUCAUAUAAUUUCUUUUUGAUAACAGUAAAUUCAAGUCACGAUAACAGAUCUAGUGACAACGAAAAUAUUUAAAACAAUGGUAAUCUUCUCAAAUAGCUAUUUCGGUAUCAUAUCGAGUAAAAAACUUGUCCCACAUGCAACUCAAAAUAAUCGGUAACAUAUUUAUAUUAAAAAUCAUGUGUAAAUCAUGCAAGUUAUGAAAACACAAAUUGCGGUAAGAUUACUACUCACAGUAAUCGUGCGAAAUACCAAACUCUUCACCUCGAACGAUUCAUACAAUUUUCUUCAAUCAAUCUAUAACCACAUCAACAUCGAUCUCGUGUUAAUUGCCUCAUUUAAGCUAAAUCCAUCACUAGUUUAGAAUAUCCAAUCCUCCGAGUUUUAUAUUUAACUCUUAAUUUGCCGAAUUAUAGUUACCCACAUAUGAGUAAUUACUAAUCUAUUAACUACAACCUAUUCAUAUAAUUUAUUAAUCCAAUUUCAUAAAGUUCUAUUGAUUCUUUAGGACGAAAAUUCUCAAUAAUCAUGUAAUAAUUAGCUAAUCAUUAGAAUUAAAAUUGAAGACAAUAAACUUUGAAACAUUGUAUAGCAGAACCGGAAACACAUCGUGUACUCUUUUAUUAACAUUGUGCACAUAACCUAUAUUUAAUUCAACUCUUUAAUAUGUAUAUUAAUUACCAUCAUUAGACAAUUAUUACUCCACACCCGUUCUGCCCCAAUUAUUAGGUAAUCAUCAUUCCUUAAAUUUAAAAGAAUAAAUCCCGUAGAAGAGUAGUAAUUUCUUUCUAGCGGCAUAUUUGUUUCUUCUAUAUCUAAUUCCCAGAAGUCAUUGCUAUAUUAUUCCCUUGUCUCUAGAUAAUUGGUAAGAUAAUUACAAAGUAAAUUAUGUGUAAGGUUAGUGUCAUGUAUAGGGAUAAAUACCUGAAUUAUAGUUUCCUCCCUCACUUUUCUUCUCCAACUAUGGUCGCCGCUCACCCGAUUCCGCUUCUCUUCAUUCUAUUUUUUUUCUUUCUUUCUUAGCGUUUUGUAGCUUCUAUUGUUUAGCAGCAGCUUGCUGCCUUUUGCCCUUUUAGUUUCUCUUUCCAAUGGGCUUUAGUCC
rnacentral:lncRNA from 1 species